rnacentral:rRNA from 1 species
UUGCUCUCGGGUGACGAGCGGCGGACGGGUGAGUAAUGUCUGGGAAACUGCCUGAUGGAGGGGGAUAACUACUGGAAACGGUAGCUAAUACCGCAUAAYGUCGCAAGACCAAAGUGGGGGACCUUCGGGCCUCAUGCCAUCAGAUGUGCCCAGAUGGGAUUAGCUAGUAGGUGGGGUAACGGCUCACCUAGGCGACGAUCCCUAGCUGGUCUGAGAGGAUGACCAGCCACACUGGAACUGAGACACGGUCCAGACUCCUACGGGAGGCAGCAGUGGGGAAUAUUGCACAAUGGGCGCAAGCCUGAUGCAGCCAUGCCGCGUGUGUGAAGAAGGCCUUCGGGUUGUAAAGCACUUUCAGCGGGGAGGAAGGCGWUGAGGUUAAUAACCUYGKCGAUUGACGUUACCCGCAGAAGAAGCACCGGCUAACUCCGUGCCAGCAGCCGCGGUAAUACGGAGGGUGCAAGCGUUAAUCGGAAUUACUGGGCGUAAAGCGCACGCAGGCGGUCUGUCAAGUCGGAUGUGAAAUCCCCGGGCUCAACCUGGGAACUGCAUUCGAAACUGGCAGGCUAGAGUCUUGUAGAGGGGGGUAGAAUUCCAGGUGUAGCGGUGAAAUGCGUAGAGAUCUGGAGGAAUACCGGUGGCGAAGGCGGCCCCCUGGACAAA